GUAGUUCCGGAGGCGACUGCGACGCAUGGCGGCGAGCGGUGUGGAGAAGACGCGCGGGUGGCGGGGCCUUGCACUGCGGCGGCCCUCCGGCACCCUUGUGCUGCCCCCCUUCCUCCAGGCCCUAGGACCUCAUGCCGGGGAGGCAGCGUGGGCCCCAGGCCCCGGUACUCUGCGCCUCCCGCAGACGCCGGCUUCCCGGCCCGGUUUCCAGCGCCGGGAAUCCUUCCACUGUCUGUCUCUGCCCAGGGCAACCCCUGCGCAGUAACGCGGACCCCAUAGCGCACCCGUUAGGCGAUGAAGGCGCAAAAGAAGAGGAAGAAAACCCGGAACAGGGCCUCGGUGGCAAAUGGAGGCGAGAAGGCCUCAGAGAAGCCCGCCCCAGAGGAAGUUCCCGUACAAGCAGUUGGCCCAGGGAUUGGCUUGGUGCGUGGAGCGACUGCAGCUGGGUCUCCAGAGGCAGAAACUCACCCCGACACGAGUAAGAGACGUGGAUUGUGUGAUGCCCCAUUAUUUUAUGUUAUCAGUAAGAUAAUUUUUAAAAUGCUACAAAUGAUUUUGAGUCCAGCUCGAGCAACAUAGUGGGACACCUGUCUCUUAACAACAACAGCCAAAACAAACAAACAAGCAAUAGCAAAACCCUCAAGUUUCGGAUAUACUCCUGAUUAAGAAACCCAGAAUAGAACAGCCCUCAUGCUUGCUGUGCACUAUGACCCGCCAGGUAUUGUCAACAUCCUUCUUAAGCAAAAUGUUAAGAGCUCUACUCAAGACAUGUGUGGAUGAGAGGCUGAAGACUUCCCUCUUGUGGGUUGACAAAACGGAGUCUCACUCCGUUGCCAGCCUGGAGUGCGUUGGUGUGAUCUCGGCUCACUGCAUCCUCCACGUCCCAGGUUCGAGCGAUUCUCCUGCCUCAACCUCCCACGUAGCUGGGACUACAGAUUCCACUUCUGCAAGACUCUACAGAAGUCUCCAACCUUCAAAUCUUCAGUCUCCGAAAGCACCGAUUCCUGAAAGGAUGGCCUCAAAUGACCAAGUAUACGAGCCGUCUAUAUCCCUGCUCCUGAAAAACAAGCUAACUGGACUCUCCAUCACCUUCCCCCAGCACAGACGCACUACCAGCUACGCAGCUGAACUCCAUGACUGACUUGCCAUCCAAUCAUGCCCCUGACCCAGCCUACAUGAACAAGGGAAGGAACAUCAGCGAAUUAGGAAAAGAGGCAGAGGUGAGGAGACCACCUGUCCUGGGCCACAGAGCUAUGUAGAGUUCAUCAAUCUCCAGCCCCUUAGUAUUCCAGGGGCUCUAAACCACCUUCUGUAAGUCAGGAUGGAAGUAGAUGGUGCCACGAAGAUUUCUCUCUGCUGUAGCCACUCCUUCAGUGUCUCAAAAUGUUUUAACAUCUUUCAGUAAAAAUCUGUCAGUCCUUGAUAAAUUAAAAAAAAAAAAGGCAGCAAAGUUUUUAGAGCUCCCUUGAACCUUCUAUUUUAAGGCGCCUUUGUAGAUAAUUCCCAACAUUCUGUGUGUCGGUCAUCUUUGGAAUUUAUCGAUCGAUCAUUGUUUCUCUUCAAACUUGGCCUUGCCCUGCCCAUUCCAUUCUUACCCGCUUUCAUUGGCUUCACUAGUCAAUUCCACACUCAUUCUAGACACUGGGUGCACGAGACUCACUCCCGUUUGUAUUACCAAAACUCAGGCCAAUAGGAUAUAAAAAGUAGGAAGAAUACUGGGAUUUAACAUGAGUACAAAUCUCAUUUCUUCCAAUUCCUAUGUCUUCUUGAAUCCUAAUCUUUCUGAGACUCAAGUUUUCUAUCUAAACGAUCCCUUGACCAGAAUGUUCAACAGACGUGACAAUACUAGAACGUGUUUUAAUUCAUUCUAAGAUUCCUUAAAAUUCUGUAAUUCUAUGUGCUGCUGAUUCUGGGAAUACAUAGCCAGCAGAAUUUGAAAAACGAAUAGAAUUAAAGAAAUAACAAAGACAAAAAAAAAAAAAAA
ensembl:lncRNA